AAAAUGACUUAGUGACCCAAGCCUUCAAUUCAAGCUGCAGCAUGUGAAAUCCACUUAAAAUGAGAGCGGGCUGCUGCUUCUGCAUGCUUUGAACAACCCCAGGAGGUGACUCGGCCACUCUGUCCUCAUAGAUUUGAGUUAUUUUUAUGACAAUAUCAGACAGAGGCUGUGCUGAGGAAGGGGCACCUCUUUCUAAUUUGCAAAAAGUCGCCAUGUGGCUAGUGGCCUCCUUCAGGGAUGAAAAAGGAAGCCACAGGCCUGACACACAGCCCAGUAUGCAGAACAGAGAACAAUGAGGACAGGGUACAACUGCCAGUGCGGGAUGCCCAGAUGCUGUGGCAGUCCUCCUCCUCCAGGGUGUGUCUGAAGGCCCCCAAACACCACCGCAUCUUUCGGAAGAGCCCUCACCUCUCUGUGCCCCCACCUCUCUGUGCCCCGGCAUGGCGGGGCUGAGGAGUGGGGCCCCGGGAACCUCGGCCAUUAGCAGCUUAUGUGGUCUUGCAGUUCUCACUUGGAUGAGAGAGGGGAGUGUGUGCAGAGACAGAGAGGCAGCUCUGAUUGUCAUUCCUUUCUUUUUCUCCCCCUCUUUCCUCUCUACAGAACAUUUUCUGUGCAGAUGCUUUAGUGAUGAAGCCUUUUCAAAGACACCUACUUGAUGCUGAUCUCUAGGAAAUUCUAGAAUACAUUAUUAAACAGAUGUCCUGUGAGCCUUGUACAAGGACCAAUCAUUCGGAUUCAUUAUAAAAGAAACUACAGGAUGUGUGGGAAGACCAGCGACCAAGGGACCCUGGGCCCCAAGUCAGUGGCUGAGUGAGCUGUGUGGCCUCUGGCCCAGCACUUCCCCACUGGGAGCCUUGCCUUCCUUGUUUAGAAGGACGUGUUUAGGAUGGUUUAGAAUGGUGACUAGGUGCUUUUCAAGAUACAUGCACAGAGGACAUUUCAUCUCUUUGUUCCUCCAUCCAAUGCUGGCUGUUCCUUACUCUGGGCACCAUGCCCCAUCGCAAGUAUACCCAGCUUUAUCCUCCACAUCAGGGGCUGAGGUGACAACAUGUCGGUAGGAGGAAUCCUUGCAGGUGAUCUGCUGGAAAAGGAGCACUUCCAGGGAGGCUUCCCCCUGCCACCCAGUGUGCUUCGGUGUCAGCGCCCGCCGCUGCAGAGGUUCUGCACGCAGGGAACAAACUCCUCUCCCUGUCGGCCUCUGCCCAGCACGCUGUGGAUGGUUCAUCUGCCACACACACAAAGCAGUGCGCUGGAAGGAAAGAUCUGGAACACUGAGCCCAGGGCUUCGCCCCAUCCAGGGCCACUUGGAUACCAUGGAUUGAGAUGGCAGGGCCACAGAACGCAAUCCACCUGGACCCUGGAGUCCCCAAGGAGCUACCCUGGA
rnacentral:lncRNA from 1 species